rnacentral:lncRNA from 1 species
CUCAACCGUUCACACAGGCGCUUAGCCAAUCAGAGCCGUGAGAUGUUCUUUCUUCUUCUGAAGGUGUCCUUGGUUCUCAUGCCGCUUAUCUUGCUCUGCAGCUGCUGCUCCGUGCAGCUCCCCCUGCUCCACAGCUGCUGUUCUGAACAGUUUUUUUCUUACGUAAUCUUACGUAAUCUUACCUACUUUUGUCUUCAGAUGGAAUGAAGCAGUAUUAUCAUCAGUUUCUAUCAUUUUCAGCUAUGUUUUUUUGACGGUGUUCUCUCUCCUUGCUCUUCUCUUUCCAUUCACCACCAGCCUUUCUCAGGCAAGAGGUGACCUCAGCAGCUGAGGAUGUACUGAGCCAAUCUAACUACAGUGCUGAACUGGUUUAAACAAGUUUCUGGAGGAAGGAACGUGGAGAUCAAAACCACAGAACAUGACAGACAACUUAUGCUAUCAUCAUCUGCAGAACAGAGGGAUUGCUUUGAUGGCAAUAUGGUAAUCAGGAAUGCAUAUGGACCACAUCUGACUGAAAAGGGACAUCAGUGCAACAGGCAAAUGAUGGCUACACUAUUAAUCACACUUCUCCAAAUUUCUGGGCAGUUUUUCCCAAUUUUCUGAUUUCCAAAAGAGUAUAAUUUUAUACUUAUUGUUGCUUGUCC